UUAGCCGGUACUCGCGAAUCAUCUGGNUUAAGAGUUUGAUCCUGGCUCACCGUUGGAUNUNCUCCUUAGAGUUUGAUCAUGGCUCAAGCUGGAUCACCUCCUUAAGAGUUUGAUCAUGGCUCAGGCUGGAUCACCUCCUAUAGAGUAUUGAUCAUGGCUCAGUGUUGGAACACCUCCUUAGAGUUUGAUACAUAGGCUCANAGUUUGAUCAUGGCUAGAGUUUGAUCAUAGGCUCAGAUUGAACAGCUAGGCGGCAGGCCUAACACAUGCAAANUCGGGCGGUAACACAGGGAGCUUGCUCCUGGGUAGACGAGCAGGCGGACGAGGUAGAGUAAAUGUCUAGGGAAACUGCCUGAUGGAGGGGGAUAACUACUGGAAACGGUAGACUAAUACCGCAUAACAGUCUUACGAGACCAAAGUGNGAGGGACCUUCAGGGCCUACAAUGCCAAUACAGAUAGUAGNCCANNGAUU
rnacentral:rRNA from 1 species